CCGUGGGAGGGAAGGCACUCUCUGUCAAGCUGCUGUCACCUUACCUGAAGUAAGGAGUCCACGCCUGCAUGUCCGAGGAAAACAGUUUUCUCAAACACAUUAGUUGAAAAACUGAAGACGCUGCCUAAAAUACAAGCUGAGUUAGAGACAGCCCUUGUAAGACUAGAAAAAGAAAUGGAAACUAAGUAACAUGAAUUAACAUAGUCCAGGGUCACAAAGCAACAUGGAACAAGAACCUGGAUCUGAAUUCAGAGGCAGAAUGCUGGAAUCUAAGCCAGAAUGAGGUUACUGCCUAGGCAAAGAAGAAGACAGCUCAUCACAGGUUUAGGAAUGAAGACAGAUCUGCUGGGUUAGGUUGUAAGUGACAGUCUCAGAGCACAGCCAAUCUGAUUCUAAAAUGAGCACAUGAGGAUGUAAGUAUUCAAGACAGAUCCACAACCAAAAAGUUAGUUCAAGACAAAGACUGCUGACUAGACUCAGUACUCAAGAUCCAGCAUACCCACCCAUUCUGGGAGAAUGCAAGCAAUCACCAGUACUUUACAUGGAUGGAAUGCUCAGGUCAAGAAAUUCCAACAGUAAGAAUCCAGAACCUGGAAGUGAAAGUACAAAGCAGAAAGAAUUGACUAUGUCCGUAUACUUUCUCAACCAUAUCUCAUGUGUAAUCCACUUGGCAGGAAGGGGUAAGGUUUUCUUUUUAGUGUUGGUCUCUUGUUUACUAAAAUGACGAUAUUUAGGAGAGCAUGUCCCAUUCCUCUGAUUCCAUACCAUCUUCCUUAUCCAGUUGGUAGG
rnacentral:lncRNA from 1 species